UUAGUCUUUUAAUUGGAGGCUCGUAUGAAUGGUUGGACGAAAAAUAAUCUGUCUCUUAGCUGAAAAUUGAAUUUAACAUUUAAGUGAAAAGGCUUAAAUAUAGUAAAAAGACGAUAAGACCCUAUAAAUCUUUACAUUAUCUUAAGGUUUAAGGCUAAAUAUAAGUAAAAUGUUUUUAAACUUUUUAUAAUGUUUUGUUGGGGCAACAUGAAUAGCAAUAUUUAUCUGUUUAUAAAAGUUACAAGAAAUUUUUGAGUGUAUAAAAAUAAGAUCCUUCUUAGAGAUUACAAGAUUAAGUUACUUUAGGGAUAACAGCGUUAUUUUACUUGAGAGUUCUUAUCGAAAGUAAAGUUUGCGACCUCGAUGUUGAAUUAAAAUUU
rnacentral:rRNA from 1 species